AUUGAACGCUGGCGGCAUGCUUUACACAUGCAAGUCGAACGGCAGCGCGGGCUUCGGCCUGGCGGCGAGUGGCGAACGGGUGAGUAAUACAUCGGAACGUGCCCAGUAGUGGGGGAUAGCUCGGCGAAAGCCGGAUUAAUACCGCAUACGACCUGAGGGUGAAAGCGGGGGAUCUUCGGACCUCGCGCUAUUGGAGCGGCCGAUGGCAGAUUAGCUAGUUGGGGGGGUAAAGGCCUACCAAGGCGACGAUCCGUAGCUGGUCUGAGAGGACGGCCAGCCACACUGGGACUGAGACACGGCCCAGACUCCUACGGGAGGCAGCAGUGGGGAAUUUUGGACAAUGGGCGAAAGCCUGGUCCAGCAAUGCCGCGUGUGUGAUGAAGGCCUUCGGGUUGUAAAGCACUUUUGGCGGGAACGAAAAGGACUGUGCCAAUACCACGGUUCGAUGACGGUACCCGCAGAAUAAGCACCGGCUAACUACGUG
rnacentral:rRNA from 1 species